rnacentral:lncRNA from 1 species
CCUGUGCGCCGGCUGGUCCCUGUUCGCCAGCGGGUCCAUCCUGGCCUCUCUGUCCAGGUUCGCCUGCAGGUCCCUGCGGCCCUUGCUCUCCUGGUGGACCUGGCUGGCCAGCAGGACCCGGUGGCCCGCGCUCGCCGCUCGGCCCAACCAGACCCAUGGGUCCUGGCGGUCCAACUGGACCCCUUGGCCCUGGUGGCCCGUCUUGACCGGUCAUCGACGCGGCGCCCGCGAGGACAACAAGUGGAGAGGCGACCACAGGGGGAGCACGUGGCCGCUCAACAUGCACAUAUACCUCGAUCGACGGCUCCGUGGUUGCGAGCGUGCGCUCCUCGGCGUGACGGCGUGAGGGUUGGGAUCGCAUCUAUUUAUCUCAAGGACCGCCAUGGGUGAGACCCCAGGUCUACUGUCACAAGCCGUGCCGCGUGAUACACUGCUUAUUCCGAGGCGACUCUCACGAGGACGGCACGUCCGGGCUGGCCCGGCGCUGCUUCGGGCGCAAACGGAUUGACGCCACCGAAACCUCCGUCGACGUUAAAGGUGACGGUCGAAGCCGCCGUGUUGGCCACGAGCACGACGAGACCGCCACCACCACCGCCGCCACUGCCCGCCGCGCUGGCUCCGCUAAAGUCGCCGGGCGACCCGGAACCGCCGCGCGCACGCAAGACACCCGUGCCGAUCACGUCGCGCGCGGCGACAAUGACCACACCGGCACCGCCUCCACCUACUCCCGGCGCCAACGCGGGAAAAGCCGCGCUGGUGCCUCCGCCGCCUCCGCCCCCACCACCCUGCAGCGCGAGUCCGUCGGCGGUGCGGCCCUGCACCAGAGCCAACGGGUUGCUCAACAGGCCCGUGCCGCCUUGUGCUGCCGCGGGCAGUGUCGUCGUGCCACCGUCGCCGGGCGCGGUGCCAGGUACCGUGGCCGGGCCACCGUCGCCGCCGGCGCCCCCGAAAGCAUGCGCGAGGCUCUGGCCAUCGGUCGAGGCACCGCCACCGGCGCCGCCACCGCCGACGGUACCGUGGCCGCCCGCGACGCCGUUUAUGCCGCCGUCAUUGUCGAUUGUGCCGUCGAGAUUGAGUGUGCCGCGCACAAAGACUCGAAAGCCGUUGGUGCGCAGGCGCGUACCUAUGGGCACGACCAGAUCCAGGUAGUGCGCGUCGGCCGUGAGGUCGACCGUGCCUGAGAUCGUGGUGCUCUGCGUCCCGGCGCCAAACAAGAGGCUGCCCAACGGACCCGCCGGCCCGGCCUCGCCUGGCGGUCCCUGGGGGCCUACCGUGCCUGCUGGGCCUUGUUCGCCAAGAGGUCCUGGCUCGCCCUCCGGACCAUCGUCGCCGCGUGGACCCGCAGGACCUUGUUGGCCAACACCGCCUGCCUCGCCUUGUGUUCCCGCCGGACCUGGGAGUCCGUCUGCACCUGGUGCGCCAUUUUGUCCUGCUGCGCCAGGUGGCCCAAUUGAUCCAGCCGGUCCAACCGUUCCCGAAUUGCCAGGCCGACCCACAGGACCUGGAGGACCUUGUCGACCUGCACGCACAGUCGCACGUCCAGGCAAGACCAACGGUGUUGCACAAACCGGCAUGGGGCGAGGCAGUCUCACAUAGACUUGCAUCACAUUUGCGUCGGCGACGCUGGUCGGUUGCACACGAGCCAUCGCACGCGCACGUGUGUGACUUUGUUCCCUUUUCUUUGUCGAUCCUUUUUCCUGGGCGCACCACUGUCUAGUCGCGCGAUCCUCCUUUUCGCUCAGACAACCAUCGCCCUGUUUUUCUUUUUUUUACCCAUUUUUUUCGUCCGUAUUUUUUGGCCAUGCAUUCUUGGACAUGACCAUACAUUUUUGCUGCAGGCGUCGGAACCCUGGGUUUUGAGGCGCCAGGUGUGCUGCCGGCGCUGCAGUCUUUCUUUUCAAAAAACAACCAGCCUGGUGGCGCCGAAUAAAGGUCCCGUGUGACAUUUUGU